rnacentral:rRNA from 1 species
AUGAACGCUGGCGGCGUGCCUAAUACAUGCAAGUCGAGCGAGCGGACGGGAAGCUUGCUUCUCUGAUGUUAGCGGCGGACGGGUGAGUAACACGUGGAUAACCUACCUAUAAGACUGGGAUAACUUCGGGAAACCGGAGCUAAUACCGGAUGAUAUUUUGAACCGCAUGGUUCAAAAGUGAAAGACGGUCUUGCUGUCACUUAUAGAUGGAUCCGCGCUGCAUUAGCUAGUUGGUAAGGUAACGGCUUACCAAGGCAACGAUGCAUAGCCGACCUGAGAGGGUGAUCGGCCACACUGGAACUGAGACACGGUCCAGACUCCUACGGGAGGCAGCAGUAGGGAAUCUUCCGCAAAGGGCGAAAGCCUGACGGAGCAACGCCGCGUGAGUGAUGAAGGUCUUCGGAUCGUAAAACUCUGUUAUUAGGGAAGAACAUAUGUGUAAGUAACUGUGCACAUCUUGACGGUACCUAAUCAGAAAGCCACGGCUAACUACGUG